rnacentral:rRNA from 1 species
AGACAGAGGGUGUGAACGUUGCUCGGAAUUACUGGGCGUAAAGCGCGUGUAGGCGGACUUGUAAGUCGAUUGUGAAAGCCCUGGGCUCAACCCAGGAAUUGCAUUCGAAACUACAAGUCUUGAGUGGUGGAGAGGGAAGCGGAAUUCCCGGUGUAGAGGUGAAAUUCGUAGAUAUCUGGAGGAACACCAGCGGCGAAGGCGGCUUCCUGGACACCAACUGACGCUGAGACGCGAAAGCGUGGGGAGCAAACAGGAUUAGAAACCCUAGUAGUCC